rnacentral:rRNA from 1 species
AGGGUUUGAUCCUGGCUCAGGACGAACGCUGGCGGUGCGCCUUAUGCAUGCAAGUCGAGCGAAGCUUUUCAGUAGUUUACUACAGAAAAUGACUGAGCGGCGAACGGGUGAGUAACGCGUGAGCAAUCUACCUUAGUUACAGGGAUAGCCCGAGGAAACUCGGAUUAAUACCUGAUAUUCUUUAUUUCUCGCAUGAGAAUAAAAGGAAAGGUCAGCCGAACUAAGAUGAGCUCGCGUUCUAUCAGCUUGUUGGUGAGGUAAAAGCUUACCAAGGCUACGACGGAUAGCUGGUCUGAGAGGACGAUCAGCCACACUGGGACUGAGACACGGCCCAGACUCCUACGGGAGGCUGCAGCAGGGAAUAUUGUGCAAUGAACGAAAGUUUGACACAGCGACACCGCGUGUGGGAUGACGGAUCUAGGUUUGUAAACCACUUUCAGGAGGGAAGAAAAUGACGGUACCUCCACAAGAAGCCCCGGCCAACUACGUGCCAGCAGCCGCGGUAAUAC